AUGAUGAAGCCGUGGGAUUGCCCCCUGGAAAUGAUCACACCUGCGUGGAGAGAUAAGGGAAGCAUUGCAUUUUGGGAUGUGAACAUGCCAAACCGGAUCUUUGAAGCAACAGAGAACCUUUCUGCGGAUCCAGAGAUAAGAAAAUGGGCUUCCAUGCAUGUUCCCCAUAUGAUAAAAUUCACUACAUUUCAUCAUAAUCUCUUGUACAAGUUGAGAUGUUGCAAUGAAGUUGCAUGUCAUGCGGCACAGUUUGGUGUGAGGUUUGUUAAUGAAGAAAUCUAACAGGCUGAGGAGAGCCUCCCCAGUGCCAAACACAGUUCACGAGCGAGAGCGCUUCAGUGCAGAAUAUGUGCAUUCACUGCAGAGCGCGCAGUAGUAAACUGACAUCGCAGCUUUCUAUGCAUUUUACAUGAGGGUUGUUGCCUGUCGAGGCCUUUCUCUCUCGCUCGCUCUCUUUCCUAAGCUGUUCCACAGCUACACUUCUCAGACAACAAAAUUGAAAGAGGAAAGAAAUGAAAGAACUGCGUCAUUGUCUGAUCAAAUCAACCUUGCAUCAUGUACCUUUCCGACAGUACCCAGAAUUCAUCAUGAUCUCAGAAAAACGAUCUGGCAUAUGCUGUGUUUACAAAGGAAAUGUCUUUGGAGUGCCUUUUCUGGUUGCGCUCUCUUUGUUUUUCUCAAGCGCUAAACAUAUUUACGCUUUAAUAAUACAAGCCGCAUUAAAAAUGAAAACUCAUCAUUAGCCGUGGACGUUCACAAAAUCAUUUUCCGCACUAUUAGCCCAUUUAUCCGUGCUAGUGAUAAUGAUAAGCAAAUAACCGAAGAGAGAGCUGUAAAGAGCAGACCGCAGUGCGACUGAACCUGUUGCGAUGCCCACCAUUGGCGGUCAUCAUUACGGUCACAUCUUCAUUCUUUCAGCGUCUGAUCUCAGGUCAGCUCCUGACAGUGGCAUUACUCACAUCUCAUUUCCUCAGCAUCUGUGCUCAGCUGCUCCUGGGUCAGCGACUCCUGCUGGUGUUAGUGACGUCCCAUUUACCCCGUGUGGCCUGACCUGAUCUGGGGUCAUCCACAGGUGGAGCUGCUUGCGUCUCAUUUUGCUUUGGCUGGCCGCACUCUGAUCUCCGGUCAGCGAGUCUGCAGGAUCGAUUGCGUAUUGCUGAUGAAUUCAUGGUGCAAUGAGGCAGAGCUACACGUGUUUCCACUGCAGCUGCCCUCAACUACACAAACCAGUGAUAUGUAUCAGUUUAUAUCCACCCCUAGCAACACCCUAGCAACUGCAAAUCAAACACUUAGCAAUGCCGCGGAAACGAUCCAGGAAACCACAGUAGCCUAACAGCUGUCUAACUGUAUCUUGUCUGACUGUUCAGCAACUGAAAUAAAAUUCAAUUCAUUUUUAUGGAUCAA
ensembl:lncRNA